AUUGAACGCUGGCGGCAUGCCUUACACAUGCAAGUCGAACGGCAGCACGGGAGCAAUCCUGGUGGCGAGUGGCGAACGGGUGAGUAAAGCAUCGGAACGUGCCCAGUCGUGGGGGAUAACGUAGCGAAAGCUACGCUAAUACCGCAUACGAUCUGUGGAUGAAAGCGGGGGACCGUAAGGCCUCGCGCGAUUGGAGCGGCCGAUGUCAGAUUAGGUAGUUGGUGGGGUAAAGGCUCACCAAGCCGACGAUCUGUAGCUGGUCUGGGAGGACGACCAGCGACACUGGGACUGAGACACGGCCCAGACUCCUACGGGAGGCAGCAGUGGGGAAUUUUGGACAAUGGGCGCAAGCCUGAUCCAGCAAUGCCGCGUGCAGGAUGAAGGCCUUCGGGUUGUAAACUGCUUUUGUACGGAGCGAAAAGGCUUCCACUGAUACUGGGGGCUCAUGACGGUACCGUAAGAAUAAGCACCGGCUAACUACGUGCCAGCCGCCGCAGUAAUAC
rnacentral:rRNA from 1 species